UUCAAGAAAAAUGUUUUUAAAGUAUGCAGGCAAAGUUUGUUUUAUUUUGUAGGUUUUUGAUAUGAGGAGAGACAAGUUACAUAACGCUGUAUUCCUAAGGCUUGUAUGAGCUAGCCAGAGAUGAGGAACUAUCUUACUAAGUAAUCCCUUUCGAGUUAAAAAUCUAAAAUCCACUGAGAACGUAAAACCCCAAUAGUUUCUCUGCAAAACUGGCAUCAUAAAUUGCCUAAUUUAUAGAUAAAAGACCGUUUAAUGACAUCAUUUUACAUGAUCCAUUGUCAUGUUAUUGUUGGACAACAUUUUGGAUAUAUUUAAUGUGUCAUGCUCAGUAAAAGUUUUUGAAAGACCUUUUCUGUCCUCAGCAUGGAAAAGUUUUUUCACUUCUUUUCCAUCAAGCUUAUUUUCCUGGCACUUAUAGUCUCUUAUUAUGUCUUAUCUUUCUCCUGGAUAAGAUUGUUUUCCCAAUUCAUAUACAGAAGGCCAGUUAACUUCUGAGUGAUCUCUCCAUGCCAUAGUACCCAGAGGUUCAGAGAUAGCUCUGUUUGCUCAGGUAAUGUUAGUGGGACACAGUACUAUUUUAAAACCUUUUUCUGGAAAAAAAAAAGACCUUGUAUACCUCUGAAGAAUGGAAUUAAAUUACAUUCUUCUAUUAUAUAUGUGAAUUGGAUUAUGGGAAUGAUGGAAUUAAUUUAUCUUAUUAUAAAGAACAUAGCAUCUUCUAAAAUACACAUGAUUGUUUUUAGUUUUGUUCAUUUUAGCUGAGCCAUAGAGCCAUUUCUCAGUAUAUAUUACAACUCUAUAUUGUUUUCUGCGGGAGAAUGAAUGCAGCUCUAGAAAGCAAUUAUGGAACUAAUAUAUUUCCCUGAAAUGCAUGUUGUGAUGCAGGAUUUUGCUCAUGUUUCUGAAAAUUACUUAAACUUCUGCUUAAAUUAUCCUGGUAUUGCAGGUACCACUUAAAUUAAUUUAUCCUGAAGAUGCUAUCUUGGUAAGGAUAAGUUUUCCAUUAUUGGCAAAAAUAACUUGCCUUCCAUAAUAACUCUUUUGCCCAGAUCCAGCAUGGUUUUUUUCAGCAAGGAGUAUAAUGCCUAGCUAUUCUGUGCACUGGGGCACCUACACUGUACAUCACAAAGAAGAAAAAGGACAUGUAUUUUGGCACUAAAAAAACCCAAACAACAAAGCAAACAGUCAUCAUAAAAAAGUAACCUCUUCAAACAAACCCUCUGUCACCCAGCUUCCUGGUGAAUUUUGUGUAGGAGUUCAUUUUCCUUUUUCUCUGUGUACCGUGUGUUACCACAGUCUCAACUUCAAGAAUGAUCAGAGACCUAUAAAACAUGAUCUAAGAGGAAAGGCUGAAAGAAUUGGGGUUGUUUAGUUUAAAGAAAAUGAAAGUGUUGGGAAAAACAGUAAUGAUCUUCCAAAAUGUAAAAUGUUUCUCUGCAGAGAGAAGGAAAAAGUAUUUCUUUAUGUUCAGUGAGUCUAGCGCAAGAGGUGAUGGAAUUGGAGUAGGAAAUUUAAGGUAGACAUUAGGAAAUUAAUUCAAACUGCAAAAGUAGUUUGGCACCGAAAAUGAUUAUCUGGGAAUCUCGUUUACUGAAGGCUUUGAAAGGCCGAUUAAGUCACGUGUCUCAGGAAUGGUUUUAGUUGCAGUAGAUUAUGUGGAGAUAACCCCAAAAGGUUCCUGGCUGGUUUAUAGUGUUUUGUUUCUCUCAGGUGAUUUACAACAGAUGCUUUAUUGCUGUGUUGUUUUGAUUCUUACUCUUUCUUAUGCCCUUAGAAAAUGCCAGUAAGAAAAAAUUAGGUAAAAAAUCGGGAAAAUGGAAUGAGUGGUGACAUUUCCAAUAGCAGAAUACUAAGAAAUCACAAGCUCUGCAGGAUAACUGUUGUGUUUGAGCCAGUGUGUGACUUGCUGACAUGUCCUCCUGACAGGCUUUGGGACUCGAAUAAUGGGCUGGCAUUCAACAGGUAGUGGAUAGUCAAUACACAGAAAUCUGUGGUUUAACUAAUCUUUUAAAUUUUAAUUCAUUUUUAAAUUUUAUUUGAAGUGUUGGUCUGUCUUCACUUUUUGCUGUGUGUAAGUACUUCCUGAACCUGCAAGGAACAAGCUCUAGCCAGAGUUCACCAGUGGCCAGUUUGUUAGUCAUCAGGUACUGUCACUGCAGCUUCAGGGAUAUUCUGCCCAAGGUGUGGGAAAAGAUAGAUAUUUGAAGUAGCAGGUCUAAAAGCCAGAAUUACCUCAACUGCUGAGAGGUAUGAAGUUGAACAUGAUACUGUUUCAUCUGAAUUUGACAUUUAUCUUUGAGAAUUUUUAUUCCUCACAAGGCCUUCAGGUUGCUGCAACAGUAAGGUAGUACCCAAAAUUCUUUUAUCUCUUUGAAGCAGAAUUGGAGAAUUUAUCCCUUGUCCAAGUUGAAUAUAUAUUCUGCUGCACAACUUUAAAACACCUCUUGUUCACCUUCUCCUAAGUUUUCCUGUUUCUCUGAUUUUCACUAUUUUUCCUGUAGCCUAAAAUCUGUUUUCUAUCUGUAAGUAGCUGCUAUAGAUCUUCUGCAAUAACAGAGUGAUCAAAUGAUGCAUGGAAGGAUUCAUGAGAACCUAUGGAGUGUGACCCUCUGGCAGACAACUCUGUCCAGCCCAAGAUCAUCUACAUCUUCAUCAUUCCUUGACAGAAAACCGUUGAAACUGUUUGGAUACUGAAUGAUGGCUACAGCCCAGUCCCUUCCUCUGGAGCUGUGGUGGUGCCACAUUGAUGUAAUCCCACUGCAUUGGUCACCAGCAUAGGAUCCACUUCCCCAGGGAUGGAUCCCUGUCCUUGAGCCUUAACAGAUCAGUGAGGUGAGGAGAAGGAAAGGCCUCUGCCAUCAUCAAAGACAACCCCAGACUCUUCCGAGUCUUGUCCAAAAGCUUCAGUAAUUUACAGUUCCUUAUGUUCUAUCAGAACCAAAAGUUAAUGCCCGUUGGCUAAUUUCCAGUGCAUGCCUCCACAGAACAACUGCUGCCUUUAACUGGUGGAGAGAUCAAGGCUUGAACUGACAAAAGACAUCUGUAUUUUGGAAAACAAAUUAAUGUUUAUGUUUUAAUUUAUAAGUUCCUGGCUCUUUUAUGGUUCCUGUUUUUCAAGUAAUGUCUCUUUGGAUCCCUAGCUGAUGGAGAGUCAAAAUGGAAAAGGCCCAUGAGAGAAUUAUCACAAUAGAACAUCUGGUCUGCAUUGGAAAAAGCUGAGAAAGAUAUUCAACAUCUCUGAGACCAAGAGGCAGCUAUGAGGCAGUUUGGAAAGUCAGUCUAUGAAAAAUCGUGCAGGUUGUGGCCACCUGGGCCAAUCUAGUGUUGUUUUGGGAAGAGCUACUCUACUUCCUUGCAUCUGAAUUUUAAUGUCACUUCAGCACGGAUAUGUGAGAACUGGGAGUGGUAUGAAAGGUGUUUGCUUUUCAUAAUGUUAAUCUGAGUCCCAGCAUUGUCCUAAUUAUAUUGUGGGUUUUUGCCAGUCUCCUAAGUUUUCUUUUGAGCAUGUAGGCUGGAGUCAAAAGGCUUUCCCAGGGUUUUGGCAUAGCUUUAUAGGAAAAUGGAUGGAAAUUACUUUGUAUAUUUUUGGAAGAAUAUUUUGCAUCCUGCUUUAAACUGUUCCAGAAGGUGAAAGGACGUUAGCUAGACUGUGUAUUGGCUCGUGUACUGGUAUGUCACUAAUGGCAAGGAGUUUUGCUUCACCUAAUUGUUCCUGUUUUCUGCAGCCACAGACUAUGAGAAAUGCAAAGAAAUAAUGGGCCAACCAGGGCAAUAAAGGCACUACUGGAUUCAGAGGGAACAAACUCCUUCCACCACAUGAAACUUUCGUCUUUUAAGUCAUCAUAGCUCAUGCAGAACAGAAACAAUUUGACAUGUAUAACAAGAAACACUGCAAUUGUUUGCCAAACAAAGACUUAUACUGCAGAUGGAAGAACUGAUGAAAAUUGUUUAUAGAUGGGGAACUAAAUGUAGAUUUUUCAAGAACAAGGUUGCUCUCUUCCUUGCCAAGACAAACAACAAAUCUAAUAGAAGUCUCAUUUCUUUAGGCUGCCUGAGGACCCACUGGAAAAUCUAUGGACUUUUCUCCAUAGAAAAUUUGUGUAUCGUCAAUGCGUAAGUGGAUUGUCCACAGUUACACUGUGGCAGCUGCAGAGGAAGUGGAAGGUUCUCAGGAAUACAUUAGGGAGAACUGGAUUUUUGGCUUCUGAUAUAGUGUGGAGCGUCUUUGGAAACUGUGGAAGUUUAUGAGCUGGAUGUUACUGCUACAAAAGGUUAUCUAUGAGUUAAACAUAAUAGUAAUUAAUCUGCUAUCUUUAGAUCCUAACACUAACAACAUGAUGAAAUUGAGAAUUCCUAUUCUGUAGAAUUGCAGUUUUCCAGGAUGCCUUCAUUCCUACAAAGAUGCCCUGAUCUGCACUUAGUUUUCAGUGUUACCUUUAGCAAUCUGUGCACAGAUGUUUUUACAAGGCACUAUGUAGUCAUCCCAAACAACUGGUUUUAAUGGACCAGUUAUUUAGGAAAAGCAUGUAAUGAGAACUUAAAUACAAUCCCUGAUACUAACAUAAAAGCAUGUAUUAGCAGAGUAAUAUAGUUUGUAUUGCCCUGAUAGAUAGCAGACCCUGGAAAUAUAAAACUUGUCAUGUCCUUAAAAUUCUGUUAUAUCUGUAAACAUAUAUGUCUUGGAAAAGAGGGCCCACAGCAUCCGGGACUGCUUUAGGAAAAGUAUUGCCAGGAGAUCAAAGGAGGUGAUUAUUCUCCUUUACUCAGCACUGGUGAGACUUCAGUGGAAGUGCUGUGCCCAGCUCUGGGCUCCCCACAAGAGGAAGGACAUGGACAUACUGGAGUGAGGGCAGGAAAGGGCCAUGAAGAUGAUUAAGAGGAGCACCUGUCAUGUGGCUGCCUUGAGGGGUUUUGAAGUUGAUGUCCUUGAAGAUACUCAAAACUCAACUGGGUGAGCUCCUGAGCAGCCUGCUCUGGGUGAUUCUGCUUUGUGUUGGACUGGUUUGGACUGGAUGAUCUCCAGAGGUGCUUCCAGACUGUGAAUAUUUGAAGCAGUUUGGUUAUGUCUUGUCAGCAUUUUAGCUGGAACUCAAUUAUUUAGGAAUCCUAAAGAGAGCAAAGGCUGUGACCCUAGAAAUCCAUCCAGAUGGCUGAGGCCCAGAAAAGGCAUAAUGAGAGCUGCUAAGUAUUUCAAAUGUCUCAUCAGAGUGAUAUUUCGCUUAAAAAUACAAAUAUAGACAUGACUUGGGUCUUAAUGACACUGAAUACCCAUAAUGUUCUCUUACUUCAGCUGGACUGCAGAUGGUAACAACCUCUCUCUAUCUGAGCACGCAUAUUUUAGUUUAUCUUGCUCUGUAAAAUCUUAUCACAUACUUUACUCUAGAAAUUAAUAUUUGGAGCUUUAUGGUGCAGAAUUUAUUUGUUGAUUUGUUCCACAAUUUCUUUCCUUACUAGUACUGAUAUUAAUAAAUUAAAAUGUAUUUUGACAUAUUCAGUAAUAAGCUCAAGGAGUUGAGAAUAUCAUAAUUUGAGCAAGGUAAAAUCAAAAUAUGUGUUGCAUUGCAUAUUCUAGUUUUUAACUAUUCUUACAGCACCUUCAGAAUAAGAACAAAGAUUAAAUUCAAAAAAGACUUUCAUAGUUUUAAAACAACAAGAUUUAUGUGGAAAGGCAAAGAUAAUGU